UACAGAGGUCUCAAGCGUUGUUUGGAUUCAUUGGGCGUAAAGGGUGCGUAGGUGGCGGGGUAAGUCAGGUGUGAAAUUUCGGAGCUUAACUCCGAAACUGCAUUUGAUACUGCCUUGCUUGAGGACUGGAGAGGAGACUGGAAUUCACGGUGUAGCAGUGAAAUGCGUAGAUAUCGUGAGGAAGACCAGUGGCGAAGGCGGGUCUCUGGACAGUUCCUGACACUGAGGCACGAAGGCCAGGGGGAGCAAACGGG
rnacentral:rRNA from 1 species